rnacentral:lncRNA from 1 species
AGCCACGGCCCGGGCCGGCGAAGAGGGAGGGGCAGAGAGCCGCCGCGGUCCCGCUCUCCCGGGGAGAGCCUGGCUGGGAGUCAGAGCUCUCACGGUAACGGAUAGGGAAGCUGAGUUCCGAGCCUUGACCAAGGCAGCACAGCCCACCCUGAGAAGUGGGGGACUGGAAUUCAGGACGCUCGGCCCCAGGCCCGUGGUUUCCCACAGACUUGCAGGUGUUAAUCCUCCCGCACCCCCUGAUAUUUCAUAAGACCUAGAGCCACGUAAGAGUGCGUCCCUUUAAGACACAUGGAAGAAGUCAUGCAAGGCCACACGGUGAGCUAGAGCUGAAAUCAUACCUGUCCUGCCUCAGACCUGUCACCUCUCAUGCUGCCCAGAUAAUGAAUGCAAAAUGCUCCACCCAGUGUCUGACAGUAGUGUAAGCACUCAAUGAAUGGUAGUCAUUGUCAUUAGGAAGCUAGUUGCCUAACUUCUCAGAGCCUCAGGCUUCUUCAUCUGUAAAAUGGACGCAGUAGUACGAUACCUUAUUGUGAGGAUUAAAUGAGCUCAUGCAUGGAAGGUACUUACAGCAGUGGUGUCCAGCAAGCAUGCAACAGUCCACCAGCGCUUGGGCUCCAUGAAAGGGGGGUUCUGUUGUCUGUUUCUUGUUUGUUUGUUUUGUUUUGUUUAGACAGGGUCUUACUCUGUCGCCCAGGCUGGAGUGCAGUGGUGCGAUCAUGGCUUACUGCAGCCUUGACCUCCCCAGGCUCAAGAGAUCCUCCCAUCUCAGCCUCCCAAGUAGCUGGUACUACAGGCAAGUGCUACCAUGUCUGGCUAAUUUUUACAUUUUUUGUAGAGACAGGGCUUCACCGUGUUGAAUCCUGACCAGACUGUCAGGCUCGUCUCAAACUCCUGGUCUCAAGCCAUCCACCCGCCUCAGCUUCCCAAAGUGUUGGGAUUACAGGAGUAAGCCACCGCACCCGGCCCCUGUUGUUGUCUUUUCUUCUUUAAUUGACAAAUAAAAUCUUAUAUAUUUAUAAUAUACAA